rnacentral:rRNA from 1 species
UACGGAGGGGGUUAGCGUUGUUCGGAAUGACUGGGCGUAAAGCGCGCGUAGGCGGAUCAUCAAGUCGGGGGUGAAAUCCCGGGGCUCAACCCCGGAAUGGCCUUCGAGACUGGUGGUCUUGAGUUCGAGAGAGGUGAGUGGAAUUCCGAGUGUAGAGGUGAAAUUCGUAGAUAUUCGGAAGAACACCAGUGGCGAAGGCGGCUCACUGGACCGUAGUUGACGCUGAGGUGCGAAAGCGUGGGGAGCAAACAGG